rnacentral:rRNA from 1 species
AUUGAACGCUGGCGGCAGGCCUAACACAUGCAAGUCGAACGGUAACAGGAAGCAGCUUGCUGCUUCGCUGACGAGUGGCGGACGGGUGAGUAAUGUCUGGGAAGCUGCCUGAUGGAGGGGGAUAACUACUGGAAACGGUAGCUAAUACCGCAUAAUGUCGCAAGACCAAAGAGGGGGACCUUCGGGCCUCUUGCCAUCGGAUGUGCCCAGAUGGGAUUAGCUUGUUGGUGGGGUAACGGCUCACCAAGGGGACGAUCCCUAGCUGGUCUGAGAGGUUGACCAGGCAGACUGGAACUGUGACACGGGCCAGGCUACUAAGGGAGGCAGCUGUAGGGCAUAUCGCACAAUGGGCGCAAACCUGAUGCAGCCACGCCGGGUGGAGGAAGAAGGAACUCAGGUAGUGAAGUACUUGCAGCGGGGAAGAACAGAGUAGACUUCAUGCCGGUGCUCAUUGAUGUUUCCCGGAAAAGAAGCCUCGGCUCAGCCCGUG